rnacentral:rRNA from 1 species
UACGUAGGGGGCUAGCGUUGUCCGGAAUCAUUGGGCGUAAAGCGCGCGUAGGCGGCCCGGUAAGUCCGCUGUAAAAGUCAAAGGCUCAACCUUUGAAUGUCAGUGGAUACUGCCGGGCUAGAGUCCGGAAGAGGCGAGUGGAACUCCUGGUGUAGCGGUGAAAUGCGCAGAUAUCGGGAAGAACACCCGUGGCGAAGGCGGUUCUCUGGGACGGUACUGACGCUGAGACGCGAAAGCGUGGGGAGCGAACAGG